rnacentral:misc_RNA from 1 species
GAAAUGCGAUAAGUAAUGUGAAUUGCAGAAUUCAGUGAAUCAUCGAAUCUUUGAACGCACCUUGCGCUCCUUGGUAUUCCUUGGAGCAUGCCUGUUUGAGUAUCAUGAAAUCUUCAAAGUAAAUCUUUUGUUAACUCAAUUGGUUUCUACUUUGGUAUUGGAGGUCUUUGCAGCUUCACACCUGCUCCUCUUUGUUCAUUAGCUGGAUCUCAGUGUUAUGCUUGGUUCCACUCGUCGUGAUAAGUUAUCUAUCGCUGAGGACCCUGUAAAAGGUGGCCAAGGUAAAUGCAGAUGAACCGCUUCUAAUAGUCCAUUGACUUGGACAAUACUUUUAUGAUCUGAUCUCAAAUCAGGUAGGACUACCCGCUGAACUUAAGC